rnacentral:lncRNA from 1 species
CAUAUCUACAAAUACUUGAAUGCGAUUGGUUGCUAGAACAUUUGUCCUUGGUUUAUUCUUUAAUAGACAUUGCUGAGACUACUUUCUUAACUUAUGUAAAAACUACGGUAUGUUGAUUUCACUGUUAUGUAUUUGUUCAUUGAAAAGAAUUCUGGAGUUUCCUCCAAGAAAGUUGAGAUCUAUAAAAAUAACGAAUGCUUGAUUUGCUAGCUAUUAGAGGAUUUAACAAACUUUUUGUGUGUGUGUUAACUGGACCCGUAACUCACAAAUUUAGUUAAAGUCCUUCAGAUAAUUAUUCAGUUUAUGAGUUAUAUGACUCAGUUAACAACUUGAUAACCUCUAGAAAAAUAUAUGUUUAAUCCUUUAAAAGAGAUCUGUUACAUUCAUAUAUAUUGAUACUGUCCCAUUUUUUUUAAAAUUAUUUUUCAUAAGUUUGAAAAAUAUGUUUUGGUUUCUUUUAAAAUGAAUGCUGCCAUUUUUGUUUAUUCUACAUAUUGAUUUUAUGACAUAAGUAUUAAUAUAUUACCCUCCACUCAUUAAACAUUAUUGAAGUUUUUGCAGAAGUGUCUCUACUAAUUGUUGAGGGGUCGAAGGGCCUUUUUCAUGAGAUAUUUAAUGAGCAGGAAUUAAGGAAUGACUAGUUCAAUCAUUGGAAAUAUUUGAUUUUAAGAUUUUAUAUCAUGAUGCUUGAUAUAACACAUUAUUUUAACUAGAAGUGGGAAUUUGACAUUUAUUUUCCUUGGGAAAUGGGAUGAGACCCAACCUACCACCCCUUUUUGCUGUAUCAAAAAUAGGCAUUACAAAACUUGUAGAAACAAAUCUAUUAUACAGUAUUUUGUUUGUUAGUUGAAAGUUAUUAUAUUUGUAACUUCUAUGUCAUUUGGUCUCUUGUGAAGAGUUGUCUCAUUGGCAAUCAUACCACAUCUUUUUAUUUUUAUGUUGUGUUGUUAGAUUGCCGUCGAUAUUGUAUCAUUGAUGUAUUUUGUAUUUUUUCAUAAUCAUAAUUUGUAUUUUGUAUUUUAUUUAAUUGUGCAAUUAGGUUAGAUAGCUUUGUUUUUAUUAUAUAUUUGUAUGCAAUAGUAAUUAUUUAGAGUACGGUGCUGGCCUCAAAAAGAGGAAGUUCAAUGACCAAUUCAUGCAAUCUGCUUAAACUGUGAGCCUGUUCACUUAUUAAUCAUACUAUUGUGCCCUUGUUCCACCUCAUAGUGCAGGAUUGAUUGAUAAAACUGAGAAUGGAAAUAGGGAAUGAUUGCUUUACAUUGCAUUAGUGCUAAAAGGCUAUUUCCCCAGUAAUUUAUAUUAAUUUUCGUAAUUUUUUUCCAUAAUAACUUUCAUUUAUUUUAUACUAAUAAAGAUAAAUUGCCUAUGAUGAAUAUUGAUAUUUUAAUAAACGAGGUUGCUGGUUCUUUUUAAAGAUGGAUGACCAUAUUGUUUGGGCAAGUUAUUUUUAUUAACUUUUGCUUUUGUUUCAUAAUCAUGCUAUAACAAUUUAAGGUAUAAGAAUAGAAUACCAUAGAACAUAAUUUAAUGUAGGAAUCUAGGUAUGAUCUGAUUUUUUUUUUAAAAGAUAUGGAGUUAUUUCCCUUACAAUGUACUUUUCUGUAACAAGUUUUUCAUCCAGUAUACUCCUUUAUACAAAUACCUUUCAGCUUUUGCAUAUGUUUUUUUUCUAGUCUUAACUUAAGUGCCAUAAUGUUGAAAAUUUUUAUAAUGAAUCUUUAAACAAUUGUUUUUUUUUUAAAUGAAGUCUUUUAAAGGCUUAGUGCCAUAGCACUUGAAAUUAUUUAUUGUGUAACUUUGAAUCAUUUUUAAAAAAAUGAAGUCUUUCAAAGACAUGUAUUACUGUAUGAGCCUUGAUAUAUACUAUACAUAUAUAUAUAUGUAUGUCUUUAAUUAUGUUUUGCUUUAAGCCUGUGUUCCAUGGAUUGUUUUGGAAAUGUGUUGCCAUAGAUUUGUGUUCUAUAUAUUGUUAAGCUUUAUCUUUACAUGAUACAAAUUCUAUAUUUUUAUUCUGUGGUAUUUAAAAUCAAACAUUUAAGACUCACUUUAUGACUUACAACGAUCUGCUAUAUUUUUUUUUCUGAGAAUUUGUAAAUUUAUAUAUAUUUUAUUUUUAUUCCUGCUAGAAGCCAGGAGUUAGUUUCACAAAACAUCUUAUGACUAAGAUUGAUCAUAAAUAUACUGAAUUGGAUAUGACUUACGAUCAAUUUUAGUCGUAAGUUUUUUUUGUGAAAUCGACUACUGGUACUAUAAUAAUUUUAAUUGUUAAUCAUUGGCAUAAAUCAAAAAAAGAUCUUUUUGUAAUGGCCAAAUAAAUCAUUGCCUUUGUAUUUUUCAAUAAAUUUUAAACACUUACUAUGAAAUUACAAAAAGGGAGAUAAUUUUAAAUUGGUUGAAUAAAUAUUUUUAUUUCUUACUGAGACUAGCAUAAACACAUUUCACUUUAUUCUCACUUGAAUUAACCAUAUUCUGGCUAUUCUACUUAUUUUCUGACAUGUUUAUUUUGAAAUAACUGUUUUCUGAUAUUGUUAUAGUUAAAUUUAAGAAUUAGUUAAGUAAAAGGAUCUACAAAACCUUUAAACUAUGAAAUCAUAUCUAUUUUAAAACCAUGAUAAUAAAAUCAAGUUCAGAUGUUGCCUGCCUGAAAAACAUUUUCACCUAAAAAGCAUUCCAUAUACCAAAUAUAGGUAACCUAUAACUUAUAGUAUCUGAGUAACAGGCCAAAAGACAAAAAAGGCCAAUGAACAAUGAACAACUAACCGAAGACAGCUAGCCUUUGAAUUGAUAUAAAGAUUAAUAUUUUUCUACAAAUUUUAUAUUUUUCUAAAUUUCUUUUGAUUUUUAUUGAAAUCAAUCCAGCUCAACUUUUGCUACUUUUAAAAUACUGCAGAAAAUACCCAUAUUGCAAUUAAAGGUUGUUAUGAUUUGUAAACUUGUUUAAUUUUUGUUGAUAUGUUUACUGGUGGAAAGUUUUAUUUACUGCUAUGUUAACUGCUUGUUCAAUAAAGUAUAACGC